AAACCAUAGACCCUUUAUGGGUUUGUCAUGGGCUUUGUGCAUUGCGCAUUGCCUCAAAGUCAUCGGUCUAACAAGCGGACGAGAUCCAUUAGGACUGACUGUUUGCUGACCUUAAAUCUCUG
rnacentral:misc_RNA from 1 species